GAUCAUGGCUCAGGACGAACGCUGGCGGCGUGCUUAACACAUGCAAGUCGAACGAGAAUCUGCGGAAAGAGGAUUCGUCCAAUUGAAGCAGAGGACAGUGGCGGACGGGUGAGUAACGCGUGAGGAACCUGCCUUUCUAGAGGGGGACGAACAGUUGGAAACGAACUGCUAAUACCGCAUGACAUAUAGAUGUCGCAUGGCAUUUAUAUCAAAGAUUUAUCGCUGAAAG
rnacentral:rRNA from 1 species